GGCGGGUGGCUGGCGGCCGCUGCGCGGUUCGCCCGUGCAGAGGAAAGUCCGGACACCUCGGGGCAGCAUGCCGUGCGCAAGCGCGGGAGCGGAGGACGCAAGUCCACCGUUACGGAUAGUGUCGCAGAAAAUAUACCGCCUGCCUCGGCAGGUAAGGUUGAAAUGGCGGGGUAAGAGCCCACCGCGUGGCGAGUGAUCGCCAUGGCAGGAUAAACCCCGUGCGGUGCAAGACAGAACAGGAAUGACGGCCCGCCCCGGCCGUUCCGCGCGAGCGGGACACAUUCCGGGUAUUAGUCGCACCCCGCGCAAGCGGGGCGCCGGCGGCAACGCCGGUGAGAGAAAUGGUCGCCCGGUCGCCUCGGCGACCGACAGAAUCCGGCUUACGGCCACCCGCCCUUU
rnacentral:RNase_P_RNA from 1 species